rnacentral:rRNA from 1 species
UACGUAGGGUGCGAGCGUUGUCCGGAAUUAUUGGGCGUAAAGGGCUCGUAGGCGGUCUGUUGCGUCGGGAGUGAAAACUCAGGGCUUAACCCUGAGCCUGCUUCCGAUACGGGCAGACUAGAGGUAUGCAGGGGAGAACGGAAUUCCUGGUGUAGCGGUGAAAUGCGCAGAUAUCAGGAGGAACACCGGUGGCGAAGGCGGUUCUCUGGGCAUUACCUGACGCUGAGGAGCGAAAGCGUGGGGAGCGAACAGG